GAAAAUGUAUCUAAUCAACAAAGAAACCAACAGAUAAAAGAACAAAAUAAAAACCAGAAUAAUGGAAAGUGAAAAUACCUAUUAGUUGCUGCUCUAUUGAAGACAACCUUCGGUUCGGUGGAACAUUAGUUUUAGAUUUUUGUGUCUUUCAGAGAAAACUGAAGAAGCUGACUAUGUCAAUGUAGCAAAUGUUGCUGCUAAGAACAUCACAUCUAUUCCAGGUCACCAGUUUCCUUCCUUCAAGUUUUUCCCACUACUAGCAUCUUAUUGGCUGAUUCUGCUGGUCAUUGUCCCGCUUCAUAUUCACUUUCACCUUAUUGCUCAGUCUGAGCUGAAACAGCUGAAAGCCAACCAAACGUUACUGCUGGAAGAAAAUCACAACCUGACAGACCUGAACAAGAAACUCAGCUCAGAUUUAAACAUCGGGGUUCACAACCUGACACAAGAAAAAGAAAACCUGACUCAGGAAAAUAAAAACCUGGA